UGGGACUCAUCCUUCUUCCCUAUUCCUUUCACUUCUCUCGAUAAUCCUAAAACAUAGCGUUAGAUCUGUUUUUCCAGUCAUGACAAUCUCACCUACGAAUGGUCCAAGGCCCGAAUGCAAUCAUCCCCAAAACGAUUCAUCAAUCUUCUUCAUCUGAUUUCACCCACGCAUCCUCUCUAGAUUACGAUCGCUGUGUGAUUCGUUACUCACAGCACGAAGCAUAAGGUGACAGAAAGGUAUAUCCGCCAUCGUUCCUUCAUCACACACACACUGUAAAUCACAUGAAUAAGAAACCAUGUUUAUGACAUAUCUACCACUGAUUAUGUGUAAUUUCAUGAAAUUACAUUUGCAUAACGAGAUUUAUCUCAAUUGGAGGCAGCGAGUUCACGAAUAACCGAGAUGAACGUAAUCGCAAGUGUUUCAGAAGGAAAGCUUAGUUAUGUUUGAAGUUCGAUCCCAAACCGUGGUACUUUGCAAAUUAAAAUCGAUACGUUGUACUUUGAUAACCAUAACUGCAGAUCUUGUGCAUAACGAGACGUGUUUUUGUCAUAUCUAAUUUAAAUUAGUCGUAAUUUCAUGGAAUUACUUGAGCAAAAACAAGGUUAUAUCUCAAUUUGAGGUACGUAGUUCAGGAAUACGUGAGUUGAAUGUGAUCGGAAAUCUCACAAGUGUUUCAGAAGGAAAUAUUGAGUACCUAAGUUCUAUGGAUACUUAGUAAUUAGCAACUUCGAUGUUGAUAACGUUGUACCUAUAAGCUAUAACCUUUUUGAGAUAAAAACGGAGAGAAUGUAUCUCUAGUAAACUGAACUUUGUUCUCACGGUUGAUGAAUGCAAAGAUGAAAAGAAGAGAAUGGAUAUUGAAUUUUGUUACACAAUAUUACAUAUGAUAGGAUAGUACACGAUGGUACUAAUGAUCACAUAGAAUGAUGCUGCUUUCCCACUAUUCCUGAAUAGCCAAAUUUUUCAUAACAGAUAUCUAUUAUGAAAGCUGAGAUCUUAGCUGUGUGUCCAGGUCAUCAUCCUCUCUGUCAAUGAGUGAUGACACAUCAAUUCCAUUCAUUUUAACAUGCCCCUUGAAGAUAUGAUGUGGUGAAUGAAUAGCAUCAAGCUUUCUUGGAAUUGAGCAAUUUGUCAAUGGCUUUGUAAGGAUGUCUGUUCUGAUUUUCUCUUUAUUAAACAUUUCUGGAAGCAACUUUUCUUCCAAUUAUCUGAGCUUCAUGUUUGUUUUACAUUGGACGAUUACAGGUGCAUGGAGCUUCCAAAUUACAUAGCUGUAUUUCUUCAGGUACAAAUUUCACCCUUAAUUACAACUUGGAAAAGAAAACCUUUUUUAUUAUGAUGAUGAUUAUUAGUAAUGUUUUGAACUUAACAUGCCUUAUAAAUUACUGUUCAAUUUGUAAUGCAAGUAUAGAAAUUGCAUAAUAAACUUGUUUUGCUCUUAUUCUCUCGUUUGGAAAUGAACCAGUAGAUGGAGAAGUUGCAGACAGAUAAUACCAAUUAACAAUGUUAUGAUAGUUUCAUAAAUAUAAACCUGUAUACAUAAUUGUAAUAACUAAUAUUUAAAUUUUACAAAUAAUCAUGCCAAAUAACCCUAUACUUAUAAAGAAUGACAAUUCACCCCUCCCCAGGGGACUUAUUCCAUCCAGAUCGUUACCAAAUCCACCUUCGUAUUAGUCGUACAUAGUCUAAAAACGGUUUAUCUGGCACUGGUAUCAACUUCACAAACCAACCAAUAGGCCAUGACAACGCUGCAAUCGCUAUACAAAUCCCCCACUGCCCCCAAUUCAGUUUCUCAGUAUCUGCAAAAUUCUUUAAAAACUCCACCAUCACAAUCUGAAGAGCAACAGUCACCACAAUAAUCCCCAUAAACAAUCUGUUCUUAUGAAGCCCUUGAAACACAUUCCUCUUCUCCAGCUUCCUCGAGUUGAAUUCAUUAAACACUUGACAGAACACAAAAGUAUUGAAGAUAAUCGUAUUCUUCACUCUCUCAUCAACAUUAAAGAUCGAUUUACCUUUAAACUGAAACGUCAAAAGAACCGUUAUCUGAUACAUAGCUUGUGCCAAUAAGUUCCUCCACAUCACAUUUGUUAUAAGCGGGGCGACCCGACCCACGGGCGGGUUAUGCAUCAGUUCUUUAGUGGGUCGCUCCGUGGCAAGUGCUAGUGCACCUAAAGUAUCCAUAAUCAGAUUGACCCAUAAUAGUUGGACUGCUGUUAACGGGACAUCACCAGCUGAUACAGCUGCAACGAAGUUUAUAACAAGAGCUGCAACAUUCACAGUGAGUUGAAAUUGAAUAAACUUUUGUAUGUUGUUGUACACACACCGACCCCACCUUAAAACAACUGCAACAGAAGCGAAAUCGUCAUCCAAAAUUACAAUAUCUGAACUUUCUUUAGCCACUUCGGUUCCUUGAAUCCCCAUUGAAAGCCCGAUAUCGGCUUCUUUUAGAGCCGGUGCAUCGUUUGUUCCAUCACCCGUGACUGCAACCACGUGGCCUUUCUUUUUAAGACACUUCACCAUUAGAAGCUUGUCAAAAGGAGAGGAUCUUGCCAUUACUUUUAUAUUAUCGACUUUUUCCAUUCUUUCAUCGUCUGUGUAGUUUCGGAACUCCUCGCCUUCUAUCACUUCACCUUUGUUGACCGUUUGACCUCCUUUCAGAAUCCCACAUUCUGUAGCUAUGGCUUUUGCUGUGAACACAUUGUCACCUGUUAUCAUUUUGAUCUCCACCCCAGCAGAUCUGCACGCGUCUAUGGCUUCUUUUGCCCCCGGUCUACACGGGUCCUUAAUCCCGACAAUUCCUAACAAUGUCAAUUGUUCUUCGUUUAGUGUUUUGUAAUUCGUACCUUUUGGAAUCUGUUUAUGAGCAAAGGCGAUGCAUCUCAGGCUGCUUGCUGCCAUUCCUUGGAUUAUGUUCUCGAGGCGUGUCUUUUCUUCAUGAUUUAUAGGCUUUAGAACACCGGUUUUCUGAUAAUAAUUUGAACACAUUGCUAGUAUGAUUUCAGCAGCUCCUUUCCAGUGAACAUGUACAGUGUCAUCUUCUUUCUUCAUAACCGAAAUCCCACUCCGUUUCUUCUCGGAAUUAAACGUCUCGACAUGCAAAACGGUACAAUCCCGUUUCAGUUUCUCCAUAUCCAUACCCAAAUUCGUUACCGCCCAUGAUAAAAUUGCCUUUUCCGUUGGACUGCCGGAAUACUCGAUUCCGGUUCCGGAGUUGUAAACGGUACCGGUUGUAUUUAAACCGACUCCUUGAUGGUACAGUCUGAUGACUUGCGUAUCUAUUGUAUCGGAAUUAGAGGAGUUGUCUUCAAUGAGAUCGAGACCGAGCCAGAAUUUUGUAACUUUCAUUUUGUUCAUGGUUAAAGUCCCGGUUUUAUCCGUGCAUAUAACAGUGGCGGAACCCAUGGUUUCACAGGCGGACAACUUUCUAACCAUGGCUUGAUCCGCCAUCAUUCGUUUCAUGGAGUAAGCGAGUGUGAGUGUAACAGCUAGCGGUAAUCCUUCCGGGAUCGCCACCACGACAAUCGUCACCGCCGCUGCGAAAAUACGUGUAACGGAAUUGAGUAUAUCGUUCGUAUCUGUACGUUUCCCGUUGUAUUCCCGAUUCCCGUGUUCGUCUUCUGUGUUUCCGGUGAAAUACCGGAUUAACAUGACCACAAGAACAAGGAAAGCAACCGCAAGACCAACUUUCCCGAUUGAAGACGUGAGUUUAUUAAGACGAGCUUGUAGCGGCGUUUGUUCGUCGGAAUCACCGGUUACGGAGCUCAUCAUCUUUCCCCAAGCGGUGUUCAUUCCGACUGAUACCACAAGCAUUCGGCCAUGCCCGUCUGCCACUUUUGAACCGGAAAUCAAAAACGGAUUCCGGAUGGAAUCAAUGUCUAUAUGAUCACUUUCUCCGGUCAUGCUCGACUCAUCCACAAGCAAAGAGUAACCAUCGAUGAACAAUCCGUCAGCCGGAAUCUGAUCUCCGAUGUUAAGAAUCACAACAUCUCCAACCACCACAUCGAAAAUCAAUAUCUUUUGUCGCCUUCCAUCUCGUAUUGCAUCGAUUUUUAUAUUAUUACUUAUUUUUGACAACUUGUCAAACUGUCUUUCUUGCCGGAAGUUACUCACCGCUGAAACAGCAAUAACUAGAAAAACUGCCACGAAGAUGCUCCCACCUUCGUACCACCCUUCUUUCGCCCCUUCUUCUUUGAUUCCAAAUCCAAGCGAAAGUGCUGCACAUGCGAGUAAUAUCAGAAUCGUGGGGUCCUUAAAAGCCUCCACCACAAAGUAAACAAACCCUUUCGGGGGUGGUUUAUUGUAAGUAUUGGAACCGAAUGCGUUUUUUCGUGUUUCCAUCUCGGAAUCACUGAUUCCAUGCUCGAGAUUGGUUCGUAGAGAUUCAGCCAAGCCCGUGACACCGUUUAAAUUUCCAAGGAUCUCCAAGUCUUUGGAUUUGACCAAAUCGGUGAGGUCUGUUUGGUCAAUGCUUGCGAAUUGGUCGAUAGAUUUUGGGAUGCUGAUUUUAAGAGCAGUAUAUGAAGGUGUUGCGACUAUACUGGGAAUAGGGUAGCGGGGAAGUUUGGCGAUGGAUAGCAUAGUGUUUGAGAAGUAAAUGGAAAAGUAAGCUCGACGCCAUCUUUUUUGGGCUAUAGUAAGUGUAAUUGUGCUUAUGUUAUAUAGCAUCCCUCCAAUGUCACAUUGGGAUUCAAUUUCGGAAACCAUUUUUUGGAAGUUUUCGUAUGCAAGGCAAAAGGAUGCUCAGUUGAGGAUGAUUAGAUGAGAUGGAAGAAUUUCAAUCUUAGUACUUGCGUCUCUUAUAAUACAUAUAUGCUUUACGAAAGUUCAAGGAAACUGCAUAAGAACCCAUUUGUUGAAAACAGUCUCAUUCUGAUAUUUUUACUUAUUUAUACAUUAUACAUUGGUUUUCAUUAAAAUAAUUGUUUCUAUCAUCUCUGUGUUUUCUUGGUUAUUAAAUGGCAUCCAUAAAUAAAAUAAAAAAGAACACCUGGUUACCUAAAAGGACAAGUUAACAAUUUUUACGUGUUAAAUGCGUGGUUUUUUUUUUUUUUCAUAAAUAAAUAUUACCUGAUUGUUUAAGGAAAAAAAGAAUGAUUUAUUUGUCGGCCAUGCCCAUAGACAGUUCGGCACGAUUUAUGAUUGUGUUAACUCCGUCAAAACAACCGCCUUCCCAUUGGAUUAAUGCUGCCGUUUUCGGACUUGCGAUGUUGGUUUCUGCUGUAUUUAUGAAGUUCUUAAUUAAAAUUAAUAUAAUGUAUGUUAUAAUUUUUUAGAAAUUAAGUUAAUAUGCUAAACAACAAAAAUGUAAAAUAACUAGAAGUAGAAAUAGAGGUGCAUAAAAUAAUGGAUUUUAAACGAUCCGGAUAAAACCGGCAAUAGGGCAAUCGGAUGAUCCGUACUCUGUCCGGAUUUUUGUUUUGAAAUUGGAAGUUUGGAACUCGAAGGAUUUUGGAUUAAAAAAAGAACAAAUUAUUAAAAUCAUCCCUGUUGUUUAUAAAAGUUUUAUGUUUGGUCCCUAACUUUUUUUUUUUUUUUUUUACUUGGAUAGUCCCUAUAGUUUGUUUUUAUUGUGCUUUUUUAUCCCUGAUCAAACAUGGAAAGACUUUUUUGCCUUUUAUAUUUUUUUAGUCUUUGUUUCUUAUUUAUAAUUUAAAAAAGUAAAUUUAAUAUUUAAUAGAUAUGUGGGGUCCAAUCUCACAUUCACUCCCAUUCCCACCACCAGCCAUUGAAAACAACCGGUGACCACCAUAUUCCACUGGCGGCCACCAACGACCUUCGAAAACAACUAGAACCCGCUGACGACUUUUGGAAACCUGAAAUGAUAUUCGAAAUAAUCAAAUCCACCACCACUCGUACCCUCUUUCACCCGUCUUUCGCCUCCGGCAGCCUCCACCAUUCACUGUCGACACUUCCUUGUCACCUCUUCUAACCACAACCACUUACCACCAACAUCAAAUUCAAACAAAACUGAAACAAAAAUCAAAACUGAAAGCAACAAAUUCAAAAACUCAAAAGAAAACACACACAAUUUAAGUUUGCUUGAAUCAAGCACCAAAAUUAAGGACAUUAAGGUUUAUUUAAGAAUUUCCAUCUAUGAAUAACAUUUAAGUUGCAAAAUUACGUUUUUUCCCCUGAGAUUCAAUUUCCAUCAUCCUGAAACUGUAAAAUCACAUAAACAACAUGUUCAUGAAUAGAAAUUUUCGUUCAUGAAUAGAAAUUUUCGUUUUUUAAUUAUGGGAUUCCAAGUCCCUAUGUAUAUAAAAACAAUUCAGAUUUGGAGAGACCGAGAGGGAGGAGUAGAAAGCAAUGAGGAGGUAGAUCAGCCGAUAGGAGAUAGGGAGAAGGAUCCGAAGACCUUGUCUGAACAUCUUGUUUGUACAUCUCUUCGGUGAUGAAGAUCUCAUCUGAUUCGCCGUCACCGAAGACCACCACCGUCGUAAACUCGUCGUUGUGGUCGGUUAUCUGAGAGAGAUGCCUGAGUGGGAAGUCGGGUGAGAAGGUAACUGGUGGUAGACAGACGUCGCUGAUGGUGGGUUAUUAUGAUGCUUUUUAUGUGGAAUGAAGGAGAGAUUUUGAUAAGGGGCCGUUAUAGGAGAUGAUGGGUGCGAGUGGAGUCCAAUCUUUAUUAAACAUUUUUUUAUUUUAUUGAAUAAAUGAAAAAAAUAAGUACGGGUAUUAUAGUAUUUUCACAUAUGUUAGAGGCGAAAUUCGCAAUAAAAUCAAACUAUAAGGACAGCCUAAUGCAAAAAAAAAUAUAUGAGAGACCAAACAUGAAAUUAUAACAAACCACAUGGACCAUUUCAAUAAUUUCUAAAAAAAAAAUCAACUUUUUGUUUCUCACACAACAAAAUGCGUUUUCACGUUUUGGCAUGAUAACUCAUCAUCUACACAUGUUGUAUUUAAAUGCGUACAACAUUUCUAGUUAGCCGACUCCUCGUGUUCUUAUUUGUCCACGUGUUAUGUCCAUAUCCGUUUUGCUUAAAUCUUGAUUACAACAACAAUAUUUUAUUGGUUAACUAGGCGAAUGUCCUCGCGUUGCGUAGAAAUACCUAUAUAAUUGAAAUAUUUAUAAAUAUAUGUUUUCUUAAAUAUAACAAUAACGUUGUUAAAUUUGAUAUAAUAAUUCGUAUAUGGAAUUGAUAUAAUAUAUUAAUUAUUUUGAAUUAUAUUAUAAUAUAUACAUCUAUUAAAACUACAUAAUGUCAAUCGUUUGAAUGACCCAUACCCCCGCGGGUUACUCAUAAAUGAAAAUAAAAAAUAAUAUAUGGUUUAAUGUUAUUUGUUUUUGUUAAUUAAUUUUUUAAAAUUUAUUUGUUUAACAUUUUAAUUUCUAUCAUUGUAAUUAUUUAAAACAUCAAAAAUUAUUUUUGGUUUUUAAAGGUAACAAUAUAAGCAUUUAUAUAAAGUUAGUUUUAACUAUUGUUAUUUUAAGUUAUUUAAGCUAUUUAUUUGAAAAUUUAAAUGAUUAUAAAAAUAUCUUUAGGAAAUAUUUUAGUUAAAUUAAGAUUACAAUUUAGUUUUUUCAUUUAACACAACAAUUUAUCAUUUUUAACUAUUCAUAAAAUAUUAUUUGAGUUUUUUAAGUGAAACUAAAAUUUAUAUUUAAGUUGACCAUGUAAUGUUAUAUUUAAAUUAACAAUUUAAGUAUUUUAUCAAAACUAUUCAAAAGUGUAGCUUUAAACUGAUAAUGAGUUACAUAUAACAACAUAUUAAAUCUAAUAAAUUAAGUAUAAUAUGUUAAAAAUUAAAGACAUAAUUUUAUUAGUAGAAGUAAAGAUAUUAAUUUAAUAUUAAAAUUUAUUUUAUUUAUGAUUACACUUUAUGUUUGAUAUUUAUUUAACUUUAUUAACCAACUUAUAAUCAUGAUUAGAAAAACACUAUAAUUGUCACUUUUAACUAUUUACAAAAUAUUCUUUGCGUUGUUUAAGUUGAACUAAAAUUUAUAUUUCAGUUAACCAUGUAAUGUUAUAUUUAAAUUAACAAUUUAAGUAUUUUAUCCAAACUGUUCAAAAGUUGUAGCUUUAAAAUGCUAAUGGUUUACAUAUAAUAACAUUUUAAAAUUAAUAAAUAAAAUAUAAUACGUUAAAAGUUAAAGACAUAACUUUAUAAAUAAAAAUAAAUUAACAAUUUAAGUGUUUUAUCCAAACUAUUCAAAAGUUGUAGCUUUAAACUGAUAAUGGUUUGCAUAUAACAACAUAUUAAAUCUAAUAAAUUAAGUAUAAUAUGUUAAAAAUAAAAGACAUAACUUUAUAAGUAGAAGUAAAGAUAUUAUUUUAAUACUCAAAUUUAUUUUAUUUAUUAUUACACUUAAGGUUUGAUAUUUAUUUAACUUUUUUAACCAACUUAUAAUCAUUAUUAGAAAUGCACUACAAUUUGUCACUUUUAACUAUUUAUAAAAUUUUCUUUGCGUUGUUUAAGUUGAACUAAAAUUUAUAUUAAGUUAACCAUGUAAUGUUAUAUUUAAAUUAACAAUUUAAGUAUUUUAUCCAAACUGUUCAAAAGUUAUAGCUUUAAAAUGAUAAUGGGUUACAUACAACAAUAUUUUAAAAUUAAUAAAUAAAAUAUAAUACGUUAAAAGUUAAAGACUUAACUUUAUAAAUAAAAGUAAAGAUAUUAUAAGAAAUUGAAAAGUCAUGAGAGUUUUAAAUGAAUGUGGUGUCUUGGGAGUUUCAAAUGCAUGAGGUUCAAGGAAAAAUGCUAGCUUUAUAAGAUAGAUAGAUAGAUAGAUAGAUAUAAUUAUUUAUGUUAGUUGCAUUGAAACCCAUCUUAAUAUUACAACUAUCUAACUUCUAUUUAGAUUAUUAUGAAAUCUCCAGAAAAGUCUUAAAAUUUUGAGUCAUCUAGUCCUAAAUUAAAUUUCAUUAAUGAAAAACGACAGGAAACCGACUAUUAUAAUCAUUUUUUCCCUUUUUACCUUUUCAGCAAGUUACUGCUGAUGUGGAGUGCCAACUGUAUUGCUGAGCUGAGGUGGCAUCCAAUUCCUUUACAAAGUAAAAAACCAAAUUAAACCUAGUAUCCUUCCUUUAUCUUCUCUAACUCACUUAAAACCCUAAUUUAUAAUUGAACCAACAAAAUAAGGAGUUAAAACCGAAGGAUUUAGGUAAGGUGAAGCAAAUGGAAAUUGGAACUCACGGUGGUUGUAAAGCGAUUAAGCUUAGGAAAAUGUUCACCAAACAAGUUUUUGACCACCCACAAGAACCAUCGAGCUUUAUUAUCUUCUCAAUAGACCAUCAUGCUUCAUCUUCUUCGAUUUAAAUGAGUUACGAAAAAAUUUCUGUACUUCAUUCUUCUCUCCCUUAAACAACGUCACUAUGCUAAUGUUUCCGAUCUUGAUCUCCCCCACAAUAGCGACAAUAACAUAUCACCAUUCCAUUUUUCGGGUUGGGAAUCUUGAGAUUGUUUUGAUUUGAGUGAUGGAGGAAAGAAAAGGAGAAAGCAGAAAAUCCAUUAGGGUUUAUCGUGAAGUAGAAUAGAUUACCUGAUGUGAAUAGAAUUUUAAGCAGAAGAAGUCUUAAGGUCGUGUUUUGGUGAAUUAAUAUGGAGGAAGAAGUUGUAGGUUCGUCUUUACAUAUGGAGGAAGAUGAAGGUCAUAAGGAUUAAUAAAUAAAUAUGAAGAAAACAAAAUAAUAACUACUUCUAGUUCACUUGGUAAGUUGUCCGGUUUGUGAGUGGGAGGUUAAGGGUUCGAGUCCACCUUCCCUUUUUUCCUAAAAAAAUUUGGUUUUUUACUUUGUAAAGGAAUGGAAUGCCACCUCAGACGCCAUGUCAGCUCAGCAAUACAGUUGGCACUCCACAUCAGCAAUAACCUGCUGCUGAAAAGGUAAAAAAGGGUAAAAGUGAUCACAAUAGCCAGUUUCCUGUCAUUUUUAUUAAUGAAAUUUAAUUUAGGAUUAGAUCAUAAACUGGUCCAAAAUUUUAGGACUUUUCUGGAGAUUUCCCUAGAUUAUUUAUCAUUAAAUCAAUACAACUCAAUAAAUUUUAAAUAGAUAAUUAAUUUAUAUUUAUGAUAUUUAAUUGAAUAAUAUUAGAAAUAUUUAAACUGAGUUAGGUAAGCUAUUUCCUUUGUAACGUAUUAGCUUCAUUUUCGGUUUGUCAUAUGUUAGUUUAGAAUGUAUAUGUUCAGUAGAUAGUUUGAAUAAAAGUCACUACUAGAAACCUGACCUACAUCGACGAAACAAUUCGUUUCUAUUCCGUCGCUAAUGGAUGUUUGCGAUGGAUCAACAACAAACCUCCUCCAUAGCCAAUUAAAAUGUGGCUAUUGAUUUAGCUAAUGAUUUAGCGACAAAUCAGUUUUUCCUUGUGACGUACUUAGCGACGGAUAAUCCAUCACAAAUUUUGUCACUUAUUUCAGUUUUGUAUGUCAUUGGUGGCAAACUUAAUAACAUUAUUGUGUCGUUGAUCCAUCGCAAAUAUCCAUAUUGUUUUUUAUAGUCCCUCGCAGAUUCCUCCCAAAUUUUAAGGUACCAUAUUUUUUUUCAUUCCUUCGUUGCAAAUAUAUAAUAUCAUUUUUUAUUACAAACUAAAACAAAAUACCAAAAAAAAACAAAUAAUUAAAUCCCAAAACAAGCAUUAACAUCUAAAUACCAAAAUCAUUAAUUAUUAUACAAUCCAAAUAUCAAAUUUUAACAUUGAUUGAUAUUUGAUUUCAAAGUAAAAUGUACCAAAAUUCUCAAUUUCCUCUCAUAUUUUGCAUUGCUCAAUACAUAUUCUCCAUUGUUUCAUAUCUUGCAUCGAUUUGUUGUUGUUUGACCUCCAUUUAUGCAACUUUAGCAAACAUCUCCCCACACAUUGAUUUGUUGUUUAUACACAACAACAAAUAUACAUAGUGUAAGUUAAAUAGAACAUCAAACAAAUUUAUUUGUGUUCAUGUAAGUUAAAUAAUAUAUGCUAUAAACCUAUUUAUCAAGUAAAAUCAACCGAAAAGUAGACUUAAAAUUCUUUUGUGACUAACCAUGUUCAUUCAAGUAAUCAAUGAAUAACCGUGUAGAAAUAUCAGUAAGAACAUUUGCUUAUGGACUAGAAAAUCCAUCUUAACAAAUGCUUUUCAUCAAUUCCUAUAAUUUAUUUACACAUGUGAUAUAAGACUUUAAAUAAUUCUGAUUACACAGUCAAACAAAUGUAAAGAAAAGUCAAAGUAAUACCUGAAUGGUGGAACAAGUGAUUUUUUCAACACAAAAUGCAGUUCCACAACAUGGCUCUGUCAGCUCAGUAUGUCCAUCAAAGUUUGUUGACUCCCAAAAGAUUUUGGAAACAGAAGGGCAUAAUUGGGAAAUCAAAUAAAUUAAGGAAGUUUUAACAAAUUCAUUGAUAGAUGAUGUGCUACAUGACAUUAUUUUGUGUGAGCUCAUUUCGUACGGGCUUCAAUAGCAAAAGUGGAAGGUAAAGAUGAUAUUUUGUAGGGUGAACUGCAAUGUUGUUCAUAAUGACUAUUUGACUAAGUAAAAAACAGAAUCAUUUCAUAUACUCCCUCCGUCCCAAAUUAAUUGUCCACUUUUGACUUUUUAAGUCUUUUUUCUUCAACUUUGACCUUAAAUAUUUUUAUUUAUGUUAUAUAUUACUUAAUAAAACUUAUAACAAUGAAAAUAAUUUUAAAAUACAAGGCAUUCAUAUCUUUUGCAUCAAAUAUUAUCUAUCGAAAACAAAAAUAUUUAAGGUCAAAGUUAAAGAAUAAAGACUUCAAAAGUCAAAUGUGGACAAGUAAUUUGGGAUGGAGGUAGUAUAAUUUAACUUGACACAAAAGAUUUGUUACAGUUUCUAAGAAAAAAAAUACAAUGAUACAAAUUACCUGCAUAUUUGAUGAAGUUUUCACCAUAUAAUCAAUUGGAGGAAUCUUGUCCUACUAACGUAAAGACAUCUCACAUAUCGUGUAUCAAAAUAACAUCAUUAGAAAAUUAAAAAAACAUGAACAUGAUAUGAUAAUAUUUGUUGGUGUUCUCUAGUACCUCAUCAAAGAUCCACUUGCAAACACCAAAUUGUUGCAAGAGUUAAAUUUAUUUGAAAAGGAGCCAAACUAUAUGUUCAACAUUUGUUGGUGUUUUCAUGAAACAUAGAUUAAAAACACCGACUAUGGUCAUGUAAUUCUCGGUUUGUGAUAAUGUUUUAUAGAAACAAUUUCCACAAUAACCUGGAGAAUAAAUACAACACAACAAUAUUUAUCCCAAAAUCAUAAAUCGUAACAUUCCGUUUAAAAUUUAAUAAAUAAAUAAAUAAAUAAAUAAAAUAAAUAACAACCCUAAAACCCCGAGAUGUAUCUUAUAUUUUAUUUUAUUUUAGCCCUAAAUCCGUAAUAACUUAUCAGUGUUAGCAAUAAGGAGUUAAAUGAUAUAAUUUCCAGAAUUUGGUGUCUAUAUUGUAACAUUAGGACUUGAAAUGCAAAUGAUUUUGUGAAGCAGGGCUGUUUGGUAAUUAAUGGACUUAGUUUGAAAAACAAGGGGGAUGGAGGGACUGACAGUGUUAAAAACGCUUUAAGUUUGAUGGGUGGAGGCGGGACAAAAACCCGUCACCUCGUAUCCCUAGUUCCUCGUUUAAAAGUUUAGCACCCUAAAACCCUGAUCCUAAAACUCAGCCACCACCUCCUUGAUGCCAUAGUGAACCACCGAAGCCCGGGGAGGUCGUCGCUGACGAAGACACGAGUUGAAGCCGACACCGUGACUAUGGAGUUGGUCGGAAGAGCGAAGGCCUGUGGUGGUCGUUGUUGCUGCUAUCGGUUAAGAAACGCCCCAACUCUCCUUCUUCGUCUUUUCCCGCUGCUACAUCGUCGCUGCCACUAUGAUGGCUGUGUCGUUGUUGCCAUCACUUUCGACUACCAAACGCCACCACAAGGGAGGCUGAGUUAUUUUAAAAAUUUUAUUUAUGCUUAUUUGAAAUCAGAGUAUUCAUCUUAAAGAAUAAUAUUGCGAAAUUUAUUCAUAGAAAACAUGAUAAAUAUAUUAUCAAAGCAUUUUCGAAGAAAUGUAUUUUGUUUAUAUUAAAACUUUAGGAUGUUAUCGUCAAUACAUAAACAUAAGCAUAAACAGACCUUACAUUCAUUCACACUAGUAAUUUACAUCUCAUUUAAUCUCUCAGUGUAAAAUGUCCUCGUAUCGAUACCCGUGAUACAAAUUAAUUGAGUGGGUCAUGUUGGGAAACCUGGUGAGUACAUAAGGUUUUCAACCCACAAUAAUAAAGUUAUUAUGUUUCAUCAUCAAAGAAUUAACCCAAUUACCCAUCCCCAUUAUCUUCUUUAUUCUUAAGUAUCUUCCCUAAGAAUCAUCUAUUCCUCAAUAUUUAUUCCUAAGGAACAGGCACGAAGUCCAUCGCUGCCAGAGUUUAUAUAACAGACACUAUGUCCAUAGUUGCCGAUGUUAUUUGUUAGACACUAAGUCCAUAGCUGCCAAAGUUUAUCUCUUUUAUUGACAAUAUUAUUUUAGGGACUCCACCCACAAUACAGGUCAGUGGGUUUUUAGAGUACACUGAUAAACAUAUCAUUCACAACACCUAUAGGUUGCGAGCCUGCUAGUGUUCCACUAGAUUGUUUAGAAUAGUUCGUGGUUGUCAUUUAUACUCUGCUAGAUGACUAAGCCAUCGUUUGGGUCAUCGCUUCUCAUCAUCUUUCACCUCUUAUCAUCUAUAUCAUCUUUCAUCUUUCAUCUCUCAUCAUUCAUCUCAUCUUUCAUCUUUCAUCAUUCAUCUCUCAUCUCAUCUCAUCUUUAAUUUAUCCAUCUUUACCCAUCAUAAUUAUAGGUAUAAAAUACAUAUACAGUUUAAAUCGAAUAAAACAUGUAUAUUUUGUUCAUCCAACAUAGAUAUCAAGAACACAAAUAAUGUGCACACAUAGCACGAAAUUUAUAUUAAAUACUUCAUAUCUAUGUGUAAGAUGAAAGUAACUAUGCACUCACUUGUUAAAGUGAUGAUUCCAAACUCGGGCAAUGCUUCACUUCUAACAAUUCUAUUUUCCUUCGGCAAAACCUAGUACAUUACCGCUAGAUUUUAGUCUAAUAUUUAUAGCGACUAUUUACGAACGAUAUUGUUUCAUAAGUGUUAAACAAUACUUUUCUAACAUUAAGUACAGACAGGGCAGACAUGAAACACCAGAGGGCAGGACCAUUUUGGCAUUAUAGCACUUCUGAAAUCCAACAACCCUAUACGGCCCUUCAAACCAGAUUCUCCGUACCGUGAGUAGUUAAAAGAUAUUAUAAUAACACUUUGUGUGUGUGUGUAUAUAUAUAUAUAUACACACACACACACACACUAGACGUUUACCCGCGCCAAGCGACGAGUGCAAAUAUUUUUUUUUCUGAAAUUAAUUUUUAUAGACAAAUUGUUUUUUAUAUCAAUUUUGAACCGGUUUCGGUUUUUUAAAAUCAUUUUAUUUGAACAAUUUCUGUUAUGAUACGUUUAGUUUUUUGAAGUGAAAUUUAAUUACAGUUUUAAGACCGGUUCGGUUCGGUUAUAUUAGAAAAAACGGAGAAAAAUAGUUUCAUACAUAUAUUAAAACCUAUUACUAAAUGACGGUUUGGUUUUAACCUACCUGGUUCUCAAAAAACUUUGGUCGGUUUUUUUCAUUCACUUAAAAAACGAUUUUAAAUACACACCUCUAACCGGAGCGAGCAAUCAAAAAGUGAUAUUGUUUUUCACAUGGACAUAAAUUGAUAAUACUAACUUAUCAAAAAUCUACUUGAUAUAUGUUUAAAGACCUACUGAAAUAGUAUAUAAAUUUUAAUGAAGGUAAAUUUACAAGAGUAUCCAUAAAAAUAGUUUAUAAUGAAAAUAUGUAAAUUCAAAACUGAUGUUUCUUUCUACCACAAUAUCCAUGUUUGAGUCUAGUUAUUAAAAUAAUAAUAAUAACACCACUCACAUCUACUUUCAAACAUAAUUUCCUCAAUUACCGAUUCUCAUAUCGACCAUAUGCUUUUUAAGUUAAUAUCCCAUAACUAUUUUCAUUAAGAAGUUGAUAAAUAUUUAUAUUUCAUUCUAUAAUAAUUUUGACAAUAAAUAAUUUUUGUUAGACGUAUAAAAAAAAUAAUGCUAGUUUUUUAUUUAAUAUAAAAAUACGAUGCCUUCACUUGAAGCUACUCGAUGUAAAGGAGAUUAGAAGACAAAAGAAGUGGGGAACUUGUAACAAUCAACACGACUUCAUUGCAAGGGCAACACCAACAAUUGUAGUAAAGAACCAUGGUUUUGUGCAACAAUAACUUGAAGGAGUACCACCUACGUACCAAGAAAAACUGACAAAGAGGCUUGGAUCAACAACUAACUUCAAGCACAUGAGCAUAAUUGUCCAUUCUUCACAUGAGAAAACAUCCUUGAUCAUAUGAUACUCAUCCAAAACAUGAAUUCAGUUGCAACGCCAGGAUCAUCUUGAACUCUAGAAAAUUUGAUCCAAAACAUGAUAACUUGAAUGAAAAACCAAAAGAAACACAUGCCAAAAAAAGAACACUUAUCAAAAGCGACCCACCCAUAUAUCAUACCACAAAUAAAAACUCAAAAACUCAGAGGAAGAACUUGCCCGCAUACACAAAAGUACUAAACAACCUAAAUGUCUUCUACCCUUGGGAAAAAGAUACACACACACCAAGCUCACAGAUUAUAAUUGUGUAUUUGGUACACCACCAAAGAAAAUAGUUUAUGUUUAGAUGGUAACUACAAUCCCCUGAGUUGGGUGGUUGAGGUGGCUAAAUAGAUGCAAUAAGCACGAUUUGUCAUCUCUUACACAAAAGAUAAACAAUUAGGGCCAAAAGAAAAAUAAAAUAAAAUUAACCAUUAUGUUCAAUCUAUAUCAAUGGUUCUCAGAAGAGAUGUCACUCUGCAUACUCCACAAAAAAGAGAUCAGCAAAUCCAGAAGAUCAAAAGGAUCACAAAAAUACCCUUUCUUCCCUUCCUUCAUCAUAUUGAUUAUUCCAUUCCACAUAAUUGAUUAUAGUAUUCCUCGGUGUAGGCUCUGAACAAUGAGAGUUCAACAAUCAAAAGACUAUAAGAUGAAAAAGAAAUGCACAAUAAUCAUAGUACAUAGAUAAUUAGGUUUUUUAAUACCUUAGUUCAAUAUGUAUAUGUUUUUUUUGUUAAACCAAAGAGAGAAUGAGGGAGAGGGGAGUGGACAAACAAUGUCAAAAUGGAGUGAAAACCUCAAUCUCAUAACAUUAAAAUGUACUUCCUUUAAUGCAACUAUCAAAGCCAACGCCUAUCUGAUAGGUAUUCCAACUUUUUGCGUCUUCCCAAUUGUCUACCUAAAGCAGCUAUGAUAUGGUUUGAAGCGUCAAAAACACAAAAAAUAGCACGCCCCUUCAUUUUACGUUUGCUUGUACUUUGUUUUUGCAUCUAUCAGAUGGAUCUCAUAUAGAUAGUAGCUUAAAACCCCAUAAUUAUUAAAAAUAGUGACUUGCUGUAGAAAUAAAUGAAAUAGAAAGUGAGAAGAUUACCACCAUGACUGGACUCUUGCAUAUAACAUUCAGUGACCUAAAUAUACACACAUGUAUCUGUUCAAAAGUUAAAUUUAUGUUCAGUAGAUAGAGAAAACUAACCGUGUAAAUAAGUAUCAAGUGAUUCCAAGAUGAUAAACUCAUAAUUGAAGGACGUAUUGGUCACUAUGUACAAAAUAACCUGUCAAAUUUAUUAUAAAAAAGCAAUAAAGCUGAGAACCAACAAUAUACAAAAAAACAUAGAUGGCUCAAAAGCUCCUCUUCAAGAUUGAAUUUCUCAAGAGACACAGUUUUAGAUGGAAUAUGUAACAAAGUACGGAUGAAAUUUGAAAACAAAUAAACAAACCUCCAUACCAACAUCGAACAAAAACCACCAGAAAAUCAUCUAUACCCACACAUCCAACAGAAAAACGUAUAAAAAGACAUAGAUGACUCAUUUCUCUAACACAAAUCAACAAUACGAACCUGGGAAACAAAAAAGUGAUGAUGGUCGCGUGGUCGUGAGGUUAGGGUUUCAACAGGUGCAGUGGUGGAGCGGUGUUGCGCUGGUCUUACUCUUGUUAUGACUUAUCUCACUCAUUGACAGAUAGAUGAAGGAGCGACACAGAAGAGUAUGGUCAAAGGCAGAGGUGGCAAACUCAGAUAUUUAUAAAUAAAUGGAGAAUGAGAGCAGAACAAAUAAGAAUAAAAUUCAAUCCAGAUCCCAAAUAUUGGGCCAACUGUGUAGGAGGUCAUCCGAUUUGAUAUAGAUUAACAACAUCAAGAACUUUCGAAAGAGGAACCCAAUAUUAUCACCAUCUACUAUGUCACUAUUCUUUGAAAGAGAUGGUCAGCGAUGAGUGGAUCGAGAUAUGGUAUUGAUGACCAGAAAAGAGAGAGAGAACGCCAGAGAGAGAGAGAGAGACAAAGGUUAGGUUUCAAGUGGGUCUAAGCAAUGAUGCGAUGGUCUUGACUCUAGAAUGGUUCGAGGUGUACUCCUGGUAUGUUGUGAGACUGGAGCUGGUGUGCCUGACGGCUAAUUAGGGUUGGAGAGAGCAAGUGAUGGUUGAGAGAACGGAAGCAUUUUAUAGAGAGAAAAGAUUUCAAAAUUUUAAACAGAGAAAAGAGCGUGAGAGUCAGAAAAAGAAGGGAUAAAGGAUUUGAUAUACAUCGGAAGCGGUGGUAUCAGUUUAUUUAGAUAACGAUAGAUCUGGGAUUAAAGGGGGGCUGAGUAAAAAAAACACUGUUGGUGAUCACAAAAUAUUUCAGUGCAUAAAUUUAUUGUACAAAUGGCAUAAGGAGUUAUACUUCUUAAAAUUCAGCAAAAUCUUGUAAAUGCUUAUUAAGGUGUAUAUAUAUAUAUGUAUACAUAUAUAUAUAUAUAUAUAUAUAUAUAUAGUUUAUAAGUUCAUAAUAAUGAUGCUGAACUUAAACAUAAGCUAUAAUUUAAGUAGGGUAAGCAUAACUCACUAGGAGGUUUGGCUAGGAACCGAGCUUUGCGGUGACAGAACUUCCGAGCUGAAAGCUCUUUUUCUCGAAGCCUUCUGGCGCUCCGGGACUCGCUUCUAGCACUUGCGAAGUGCUAGGAAAUGGGAGGGGCUAAAAGGGGUGUUUGAGAGAGAAAGAAUGGGAAAAAUGUGAGUUGUUGGGGUGAUUUGCGCCUCUAUUUAUAGGCUGAGUCCGGUUCGAACGCGAAAUGUUACCUUGUUGAACGUUGGGCGUUCGUGGCUAGGUGUCAUCAUCUGGUGCCAAGCCGUGGUGAGGAAGCAGUGGCUUAGAUCGCGUCACGUGUCGCUCACUGGUUACUCCAAAAACUACUUAUAUUCUAAAAUUCGUAACUUUUGCAUACGAGCUCUGGUUUUGACGUUAUUUAUAUCCACGCGUAGGUAUUGACGGGAUCUAUAAAUUUCAUUUAGACUCCGUCAGCUAAUUUUGACUUUGUUUUUAAUUUUAUAUUUUAACAGACUUAGACAGUUAAAAUCCAUUAAAAAUUCAUAGUUUUUUCAUCCGACGUCCGUUUUCGCCUGUCUUUGUAUCGUUUAGCUCAUAUUAAUGAGAUCUUCAAUUCUCAUUUAGGUUGUGUCGGCUAAAAAUUGAUCGAUCUAAAAUUCGAAUUCUAGGUGUACACUUCUAUGCUAAAUCUUAGAAAAAUCAUAACUUUCUCAUACGAAGUCAGAUUUGGACGUUCUUUUCAUGCAUGCUCUUGGUUUAACGUAUACUACGACUUUCAUUUAGAUCGCUAAGGCUCAAAAGUGUUUUAUUGCAAACUCACUUUUUACGAAUCCCGGUGUCAUGUCGGUUUUGCCGCAAAACUUCAACAUAUCAUAAUUUCUUUGUUAUAACUCGGAUUUCAACGUUAUUUAUAUGUACAAAAUCCUUGUGACAUAUACUAUAACUUAGUUAAGAUUAUUUAUUAUAAAUAAUCUUCUAUCAAAAAGUCAUUUUUGACGUUUAUUGUCUUUAAAUUAACUAGUUCAAAUCUGCAAGCGUUACACCAACCAUGUUGGUUGUCGUCCUUAUUGCCUUUUCUGCAACCACUAGCCACCAUGUGUGAGUGGCUGUGUGUGUAUAUUUGUUUGUGUUUUAAUAUAAACAUGUUGAAUGAACAUUCUUGGCCGAAAAAAUGAAGAAAAACCACCACCACCACCGUGAGGUGGUGGCUGCCACCUUCUGUUGUCGUCUGCCACUAUCUUGGUGGAUAUAUUGGACAUUUUGAUAUUCUUUUGGUGCUAAUAUGUGUGAAUGUUGUAAGAACUUGUAUGUGUGUUUGAAUUGUUGGAAAUAUCACUCGAACCACCGCCGCCGUCUGUGGGUGGCUGCCGACGCGGACUGUCGCUGACCACCACUGCCCAAGCUGGCGGUGGGUGGUGCUCGAUUUGUUAAAUAUAUAAUUAUUUAAUUAGCUAAUCAUCUAACUUUAUGAGUUGGAAACCCCAAUUAAGGUUUGGAAAACCCUAAUGUCAAGAAACUCUAGUUUUUGGAGUUGGCCGGGACCCGCGUUAAAGCUAUUAAUUAAACUUUAAAUAAUCACUUAAUAAUGCCCCUACAAUUAACUUAAUGCAAUAUUGGACUUAAUGGGUUAAGUCCUUAAGGGGUUAAGUGUGGAACACAAACCUUGAUUAUCAUUUUAUGUGAAAACCCUAUACGGGUGCUCUAUUUUAGACAGUAAUCGGGCGCAUAUUUGGUCUAUUGAUUAGAUUAUUAUUACACCCGAGAAUGACUAAGUCAACCUUAAUCCGUCCUAACAUUAGUUGAUUAAGUAGUUAAUGGGUUAAGUGUUCUUAUUUAACCCUAAUUGUCAUUUUAUGUGAAACCCUAAUCGUUAUUUAAUGUGAGGUGGUCACUGUUGCAAGUGGCUAUGACCUGUGAUCGGGUAUUGACUCAAUUAUUUUCUUGUAGGUGAUUGGAAGUGAGUUGAAGUUGGUAGAGUCAUUCAUUGCUUCAGUGAUUAUCUACGCGCAUAUCGAGGUGAGUUUCGCCUCACUAUACCCGUGGGUCGAAGGCACCAAUGCCGACCCACUAAUUUGGUUAUCUGUUAUUAGAGGGAUACUGAAGUGGUGUUGAUUAUGAUGGCAUGUGCGAAAUUAGGAAAUAUCUAGUGAUUCAUCAUACAAAUUCAAGAACACAAGGAGUAAAUAAAUCUUUGUAAGCUCUUAUUAGAUCUAGAAAGAUUAUACAAAUGGGUCUUGUAUACAAAUUCUCUCUCUAGUCUAACACUCCAAAAUGGACUCUUUCAUUCUUACAUAAUGGGAGUCACUCACUUCCUAUUUAUAGGAAAAGACUCAACCCAUUUACACAUACAAAGAGGAAAGCCUCUACAUCCAAGCAUGACUUUGCACCCUAACAUUCUCCCCCUCAAAGUUAGGAUUGGAUGUCCGACUUUAAUCUCCAACGAGCUAGCGCGAUGAAGACCAAACUCCCCCUCGAAGUAACACCGGUCUUCAAAUCCGCAAAUGAAUAUUCGAAAAACCCGAGAAGCUUCGAAUACCCAUCAUUCUCUCCCUUUUUAUAAUCAAAAAAUGAUUAUAAAACCCACUAAGGAUGAGAAGCGCCUGAGGAAUAAUCUUCACGAUACUCCCCCUUGAUGUGUACCAAAAACGAAUCACCAAAAAUCUUGCACGGAAAAACAAUCACGAAAAAGCCACAAAAAAUUUCCAAUUUAUGAAUUUUUUUGACUUUUUGGGUGAAAGUUGCAAGAUUUUUCAAAAUCCGGAUAGAUAUUGUCAUUUUCUGAAACUUGCAGGGACUCGUUGCGCCCAAAAACAGCCAAAUAUGCGAAACUCUAUCCCAUCUGCGAAACUGGGCAUAAAGCGUAAAUUCGCACAAACUACAGGGACCAGAACUGUAAAAUCUUCAUUUUCUCAAAAAAUAAGUCCAAAUUCGAAGUUGGGUAUUUUCUGCCAACUUUUUGAAACUGUAGGGACUCACUUCGAAAAUUAUGUAUUCUCAUCAAGUUUCGCUCCAAAUUCGAAACUGGACUAAUUUUUCCAUGUUUUCAAAAGUUCAGGGACUAAUUUUGAAAAUCUGAACAUCUUCUUCCCGAUUAACACUAAAAAUUUGUUAUCNNNNNNNNNNNNNNNNNNGCUCUUCCCAUCAAUCGGUGAAUUCAAAGUGAACAGAAUGUUCGACAUCAAACUCCAUCUGAUUCAAAUCUCAAUUUCGAUUGUUCUAUCCCAAGUCAACAACUACCUUAGGUGAGAUUGAUUUCAAUUUUGACUGGAACUCGACAUCGAACAUCAGUAGAACUUUCGAUUUAUCAAAUUGGAUAUUCAAUUUCGUUUCCAAGUAUUCCCAAUCAAUUCGACUCCAACCUCAAUUCCAAUCAAAAAUUUGAUUUUGACUAGACAUUUAUCAACCAAUUUCAAGUCCAGAUUCACUGAUCAAAAAUGAAAAAACCAAUUUUGACUUUCGGUUUGACUUUUCAUUAGCCCAUUGAAACCAAUUCAUUCUUCUGUUCUUGACUACGUUUCAUCAGUUCUUCAACAUGUUUAUCAAUGGAAACCUUCUUCUUUUUUUUUAAUCAAUAAACAACAAUAAUCCGGAAAUUAUCUCCAAUCUCCUCAAAUCAAGCAUCUAGACAUCAUCAUUAGAUUAGAUUUGAAGGAAAUUGAUUCACAAAUCGAAUAUGAAUGAAACAAGAUUCACGAACUGUUUUGUGUUCUAUAUUCAACGCAAUCAACUCCAGAGAUGAAUUCAACAAUCAGAAAGCAUCGAUUGUUAAGAAUGAUGAUAAGAACCCGAAUCCGUAUGAAUAGAAGCAAAGAACAAUAGAACGUACAAACACUUUAAGCGUAUGAGUAGGAACGAACAAAGUGAAUGUGCUUCAUAUCUGAUUAAUGGAUUCUCUAGGCUUCAACAGUGAAAUUGGAUCAAAAACGGACUGAUUAGCUGAAGUUAGUGUGAUGGUUCGAUUUGGGCUCAAUCAUUCGAAUAUGAACAGUUGCAGAAAGAAUUUGGGCUCAAAAUAAAAGACGAACAGUAAAAUUCAACGCAAAUCGAUGAACACUAAAAUUCGUUAUUUUGAACUUAUGAAUUAAUCAAAACAAAAUUAAAUGUUUGUUUUGAGCUUGAUCUUUUAAAAAAAAUAUUGGAUCAAUCAAUGGGAUUGAAACGGAUUUGAUCCAAUGAGGCAAAUCGAUCAAAAAUGAAAAACGUAAACUACGAAUUGAAAUCAUGGAUGUUUUGGAAUCCAUUUGAGAAUUUGAGAUACCUUUUUGACGAAUCGAGAUCCAUUUUCAACGAACGAAUCAAAUUUGAAAGAUCUUGGUUCUUUUGUCGGAAUGAGAAAAUCUCCAAAUCGAACAUUGUACCACCCACCAUGCGAGAUGUACAACUCGUUCUUCGUGUUCUUCAACGAUCCAAGAACAUCUUCAAAAGAACCACCAACACUUUUGGGUUUUAACUUUAAAUUCAAUGCAACAUUUGGAGAUUGUUGCUUUGGAACCCAAAUUUGUUUCACAGAUUUCGAUUUCACAACAACAUUUGACGAUUUUUGUGAAUAAACCCGCUUGUUUUUGUGAUUGAUCUUCUUCUUCUUUUUCUUUCUCAUCUUUUUGCAUCUUGAAGACUUGACUCCAUGAACAAACCCACUUUUCACAACUUCUUGAGUUUGAAUCAAAUCUUUUGGAGUUUGAUACUUAUGAAUUUCAUAGAAAGAGUACAAAUGGGUCUUGCAAUAUUUCUCUCUCUAAACUAAUGCUCUCAUAAGUGUUCCUUACAUAAAAUGAGUGUCACUCACUACCUUAUAAAGGAAAGACAACUCAUUACACAUACAAGUGGGUAAAGCCUCAUCCAAGCAUGACUUUGCACCCUAACAUUUUAUUGUAUUUGAAGUGAGUGAGUUUUAAAAGAAUAUUAUUGCUAACAUAAAAACCUAGGUACGAAUUCAUUCUGAAAGAAUGUUAUUACUGACAUUAAUGACGAAUUUAAUUAGUUUCCACAAAAAGAAAAUUAUAAUUAUGGAUAUAAUUUAAUAUGCAUACAAUUAUGGAAAUCAUUUAAUAUUUAUCUUUAUUUAAUUAAAUAAUUAUUUAAUAUUACUAAAUUCUUAUUGGUGCAUUGUAACGCAAAAUAAAUAUAAGAAACAAAUUAUGCAUACAAUUCUUAUUUAAUAUUGCUAAAUUCUUAUUGGUGCAUUGUAACGCAAAAUUUAAUAUGCAUAUAAUUAUGGAAAUCAUUUAAUAUUUAUCUUUAUUUAAUUAAAUAAUUAUUUAAUAUUACUAAAUUCUUAUUGGUGCAUUGUAACGCAAAAUAAAUAUAAAAAACAAAUUAACCUAGCCAUAUAUAUAUANNNNNNNNNNNNNNNNNNNNNNNNNNNNNNNNNNNNNNNNNNNNNNNNNNNNNNNNNNNNNNNNNNNNNNNNNNNNNNNNNNNNNNNNNNNNNNNNNNNNNNNNNNNNNNNNNNNNNNNNNNNNNNNNNNNNNNNNNNNNNNNNNNNNNNNNNNNNNNNNNNNNNNNNNNNNNNNNNNNNNNNNNNNNNNNNNNNNNNNNNNNNNNNNNNNNNNNNNNNNNNNNNNNNNNNNNNNNNNNNNNNNNNNNNNNNNNNNNNNNNNNNNNNNNNNNNNNNNNNNNNNNNNNNNNNNNNNNNNNNNNNNNNNNNNNNNNNNNNNNNNNNNNNNNNNNNNNNNNNNNNNNNNNNNNNNNNNNNNNNNNNNNNNNNNNNNNNNNNNNNNNNNNNNNNNNNNNNNNNNNNNNNNNNNNNNNNNNNNNNNNNNNNNNNNNNNNNNNNNNNNNNNNNNNNNNNNNNNNNNNNNNNNNNNNNNNNNNNNNNNNNNNNNNNNNNNNNNNNNNNNNNNNNNNNNNNNNNNNNNNNNNNNNNNNNNNNNNNNNNNNNNNNNNNNNNNNNNNNNNNNNNNNNNNNNNNNNNNNNNNNNNNNNNNNNNNNNNNNNNNNNNNNNNNNNNNNNNNNNNNNNNNNNNNNNNNNNNNNNNNNNNNNNNNNNNNNNNNNNNNNNNNNNNNNNNNNNNNNNNNNNNNNNNNNNNNNNNNNNNNNNNNNNNNNNNNNNNNNNNNNNNNNNNNNNNNNNNNNNNNNNNNNNNNNNNNNNNNNNNNNNNNNNNNNNNGCAAGGAGAGACAAAGAACAAUAAAUGCAUAUGUGUAUCAUAUGACAGACUAUCCAUAUCAAUCAAUGAUUUGAAUCAAAGAUUUACAAUCAUUGAGAUACAACAAUUUCAACAUGAUAUGCAUCUAUAAGACUUCAGCCCAAGUGGCACAUAAAAUAAACAAUUUCAGAUUAUCAUUUUGCUAGAAUAUACAUGCUUUCAACCCUACAUAGCCCUAUGCCAAUACCAAAAGUGAUACGAGUCAUGCUCUACAUGGCCAAAGGCACAAAGCCAAUACAAGAAGUGAUACGAGACAUGCUCUACAUGGCCAAAGACAUAAAUACGAUACCAGAAUAUUACGAGACAUGCUCUACAUGGCCAAAGGCUCAAAGCCAAUACCAAAAGUGAUACGAGACAUGCUCUACAUGAUCAACGGUAUAAAACCAAGAUUACAUAGGAAAACACUUUGAACAUAUGACACAUAACAUAUAAUUGUCCAUAUAUUGAACUCACCGUGAAAUAAUUGAAUCAUAAAAUGAUAAUUUGGGCAGCACUUCGUUUCUAAAAAUUAUUUUCUUUGACGAAACGGGGGAUUUUAGUUGAAAACCAGGCUUUGUGUGGGCAGAGUUUCGACUGAAAAUAUUAUUUUCUCGGGGUCUUCGGUGCUUUGAGACUUGCUUCGGGUGUUGGGGUAGUUCCCUAUGCUUCGAGGGGUGUUAGGGUAGCUUGAAAGGAAGUAGAGGGUGANGGGGUGUUUAGUGUAGUUUGAAAGGAAGUAGAGGGUGAAAGAGUGUCAAAAUUGUAAACAAAAUUCAGAAACCUCGCAUCCCUUUUAUAGUGGUCCGAAGCACCUGACUGCGUUGGGCGUACUUCGGUAUGCACAUCGAACCUUCGUACGUUGCGCGUAGCUAUGUAUUUUCUGAUGGGUAUCCGAGCUUCGGCCGUGGCAUAGUUAGGAGAUGUUUCCAUCAUGCGAAGGCACUAAGUGGCUGAUACGUGUCUUCGUAGUACGAUGGGCGUACAACCUUCUCGAAGUUUGUGCUAAAACUUCAAAAAUUCAUAUUUUUCGCGUACGAGCUCCGUUUUUUACGUUCUUUAUAUCCACACGUAGGUGAGAUUAUACUCUACAACUUUCGUUAAGAUUCUAUUGGCUAAUUUUGACUUCAUUUUUAAUAUUAUAUUUUUAACAAGCCGGGACAGGAAAAGUGCGUUAAAGACUCAUAACUUCUUCAUCUGAUGUCCGUUUUCAUCUGUCUUUUUACCGUUGUACUACUAAUGACGAUAUCUUCGAUUCUCUUUUAGGUUGUGUCGGCUAAAAAUCACUCGAUCUUUAUUUCGAGUUUCGGGUUGUGUACUGCUAUGUCGAAUCUUAAAAAACUCAUAACUUGCUCAUACGAAGUCAGAUUUGGACGUACUUUUUAUUAAAAUUCUCGGUUUAACGAAUACUACGACUUUCAUUUAUAUCAUUAAAGCUAGAAAGUAGUUUAUUGAAAACUCACUUUGAUCCGAAUCUCAUAAGACUUCCAAUAUUUUCCGAAUGAUUCUAAACAUAGUUUUACUUCAAGUCUCAUAAAACUAUCUUGUUAGAACUCAAUGCUCAAAAUUAUAUACUCCCUCCGUCCCAAAAUUAUAGUCCAUCUUUCCUUUUUGGUUUGUCCCUAAAUAAUAGUCUACUUUUAAAAAUAAAUAACAUUUUUACCAAAAUACCCCCCAUUAUUACUUAACCAACUAAGCAUUUAAUGGAACAUUAAAUGCAAAGUAAGUACAAAACUGUCAUUUUAUUAAAUAAAGUUAGUGGUAAUCUACGAUUCUUAAUAUGUGUGUUUUUGUCUGUGGACAGUAGUAUUGGGAUGGAGGGAGUAUUAUAUAAUAAUAUUCACUUUUAAGCUAUCAAGCUUACAAAACACGAUAAUUAUACAUGGUUAAUAACGUGUAUGUUACAAAUACCUCCUCCUUUUGAGGAUUUCGUCCCCGAAGUUACAAUGAUUUAAACAAAUGAGGAUAUUUUGCUCUUAUCUCAUUCUUAUUUUCCCAAGUAUAAUUUGGGCCUCGAUGGUGUUUCUACUGGACAAGCACCAACUCCACUUCUUUAUUAUGUAGAUUAACUGCUCUUUCGUUUACGAUCUUUUCAGGUUCUUCUACAUAUCUUAAUUUAUUAUCCAGUUUCACCUCAGAUAACAGAAUUGUUUCAUCAUAUAUGCUCAAACAUUUACACAGAUAACUCACAUGAAACACAUCCUGAAUACCUUCCAAAUCUUCAGACAAUUUCGAGCGGUAUGCUUGUUUACCAAUUCUCUGGAUGAUUUUGAAAGGACCAACAAAUCUAGGACUUAGUUUUCCUUUCUUCCCAAAUCGUAUAAUGCCUUUCCAUAAGGAUACCUUCGGUAUUACGAAAUCACCCACCUAGAAUUCUAUGGAUCGUCUCCUUUUUUCUACAUAGGACUUAUGUCGAUCCUAGGCCGCUUUCAUUCUUUCUCGUACAAUUUGAAUCUUAUUAGUGGUGUCUUGAAUCAUUUCAGGGCCUCCAAGGAUUUUCUGUCCUACAUCGCGCCAACAUAAUGGAGUACGACAUUUACGUCCAUAUAAUGCUUCAUAUGGUGGCAUUUUGUUUGAAGCGUGGUAAUUGUUAUUAUAUGAAAAUUCGACAAGAGGUAAGUAGGUAUCCCAGUUACCACCGAACUCCAAGACGCAUGCACGAAGCAUAUCUUCUACUAUUUGGAUUGUUCUCUCCGUCUGACCAUCUGUCUGGGAUGAUAAGUUGUGCUUAGAGCAACUCGAGAUCCCAAUUCACAUUGCAUACUCGCCUAAAAAUGAGAAGUGAAGCGAGUAUCACGACCGGAAAUAAUCUUUAGUGGCACACCAUGUCUCGCAAUAAUUUCAUCCAAGUAUACUUGUGCGUAUUUCUCCAUUGGAGCUGUUUCACGCAUGGCAAGAAAAUAUACACUCUUCGUUAGUCGGUCGACAAUUACCCAAAUACUAUCAUCCUGUCUCGCAGUCUUUGGCAGUUUGGUAAUAAAAUCCAUGGACAGUUCCUCACAUUUCCAUAUGGGGACAUUAAUACCUUCUGGACUCCUAUAUGGCUUUCGAUGUUCCGCUUUGACUUGUAAGCAUACUAAGCAUUCUUGAACGUAUCUUCCAAUGUCUCUUUUUAAUCCAGACCACCAAUAAUCAAUUCGUACGUCAUAGUACAUUUUACUUGUACCAGGAUGUAUUAACAGUUUAGACUUAUGGGCUUCAUCUAAAAUAUUCUGUCUUAAUCCACCAAUCUUUGGAAUCCAUAGCCGAUUCUUAAAUACUUUCAAUCCACAUGGAUCAUCAAGUAAAAUAUCAACAUAAUGUACCAUCCCUUCCUUCUUCACAUUUUCUGGCUUUAAGGCCUCUACUUGCCAUUUCUCUGGUUCAUCAAUGAUAGUGAACUUUACUGUAGUGUGAGUAAUAACAUAACACACACUAUUAUGAUAAACCUUUCUGCUAAGUGCAUCGGCAACUACAUUGGCCUUUCCAGGAUGAUACAAGAUUUCAUAGUCAUAGUCUUUAAUCCUCUCCAUGGCUCGCUGUUGUCUCAUAUUCAAUGUUUGCUGACAAAAUAUAUCCUUGAGAUUUUGUGGUUGGUAAACAAUUGACAUUUUGUACCAAAAAGAUAAUGCCUCCAAAGUAUUAGGGCAAAUACUACUGCAGCGAGUUCGAGGUCAUGGGUGGGAUAAUUCUUUUCAUACUCUUUUAGUUGUCUUGAAGCAUAGGCUAUUACUCUACCACGUUGCAUCAACACACAACCGAGUCCCAACCUUGAAGCAUCGCUAUACACGGAAAAAUCAUUAUCACCUUUUGGGAGUGAUAAGAUCGGAGCAUGAGUCAAAAGAUCUUUUAGAGUUGAGAAAACUUUUUCUUGGGCUUCACCCCAUUCGAACUUUACUUCCUUUCAUGUAAGACUUGUGAGAGGUACAACUAUGCGUGAAAAGUCUUUAAUGAAUCUCCGGUAAUGCCCCACGAGACCCAAGAAACUAUGAAUUUCAGAAGCAUUACGAAGCGCUUCCCAAUUCUGAAUGGCUUCAAUUUUAGUAGGAUCUACUGAUAUACUGUCACCAGAAAUCACGUGGCCGAGAAAUUGAAUUUGACGAAGCCAAAAUUCAUAUUUUGAGAAUUUAGCAUAUAAUUUCUCCUUUCGAAGAAGUUCUAAUAUUUCACGAAUAUGAAUGGCAUGAUCAGCUUCAGACUUGGAAUAUAUUAGAAUAUCAUCAAUAAAUACGAUGAUAGAUUUAUCGUGCAUUGGACGGCAUACCCGAUUCAUCAUAUCCAUGAAUAUAGUAUGAGCAUUUGUCAAACUGAAUGGCAUGAAAAGGAAUUCGAAAUGCCCAAAAUGAGUACGGAAAGCAAUCUUCAGUACAUCCUGCUCGUGUACUUUCAACUGAUGAUAGCCAGAACUCAAAUCAAUCUUUGAGAAAUAGCUAACACCCUAAAGUUGAUCAAACAAGUCAUCUAUGCUAGGUAGUGGAUACUUGUUCUUGAUAGUUACCUUAGUUAGCUCGCGAUAAUCAAUACACAUUCGCAUCGAUCCGUCCUUUAUCUUGACAAACAAUAUUGGAGCACCCCAAGGAGAGGUACUCGGUCAGAUAAAGCCUUUGUCAAGUAAUUCCUGUAGUUGAAUCAUCAUUUCCUUCAUCCCAGCUGGUGCAAGACGAUAAGGAGUCUUUGCAAUCGGAGCAGCACUAGGCAUAUGGUCGAUUUGGAAUUCUACUUGCCUGUCCGGAGGAAGUCCAGGAAAAUCAUCGGGUAAAACAUCAGGAUAUUCGUUAACAACGGAAAUAUUAUUUACAGUUUUCUUCCCUUCUUUUGAGAUAUCAACUGUAUAGGCCAGAUAAGUAGAACACCCCUUCGAUAUAAAUUUACGAGAUUUUAAGAAAGAGAUUAUUUUUAAGAUUUGAAGUCUUUGUUCACCGUAGACAUAAAUAGGAUUCUUCCCUUCGAUAGGAAUGCAUACUAUCUUUUCAUAGCACACGAGUUCUGCGCGGUUCUUUGACAACCAAUCCAUGCUAAGAAUAAUAUCAAAGUUAGGCAAGGAGAUAGGAAUCAGGUUAGCAAGAAAGUUAUAAUCUUCAAUUUCUAUGACAUAAUCUCUAUAGACUUUAUCAGCAAGUAAUGAUACACUUCCCUCUAUAUCUACAUGAAACGGUUGAGCUAGUGCAUAUCAAGCAAUUUGAAAAGAACGCGCAAAUUCAUCAGACACAAAAGAAUCUGUGGCACCAGAAUCAAAUAAGAUGUGAGAAGGUCUAGAGUUGACGAGAAAUGUACUGGUUACAACAUUAGGGUCUUCGUGUGCCUAUUCUGUGAUAAUCUGAAAUGCACGACCUUUAGCUUUUGGAACCUCCUCCUUUUUAGUUGGAGUACUCUUUGGUUGUUGAAUGAAAGCUUGACUCCCUGUCAUUUAACUAGUAAGAGUAGGGCAGAAGCGCUUCCUAUAUCCAGUAACACCACAAGCAUAGCAAGUAACAUUCUUCAUCGGGCAAACAGUCUUCAUGUGGCCUAUUUCUCCAGAUCCAUAAUAGAUCACUGAUCCUUUUUUUCUAAUCUUCAUUCGCCUUGAUGAUUCUUUCUACAAUUUCGACACGAUGGUGACUAAAGAGAAAAAGACUGUGACCUACAGCGGCCACGAGAGGUGUUAUGAGAUUGCACUUGUUUGCUGGGAUCAGAUCGAGCGGAUCAAGCUGAUAGAAUAGAGGAAACCGGAACAGUUCGAUCAACACGUGGAUGCUUCGGAACAGAAAGGCCGACACCACGUAUUUCUAAGUCAUGCUCGGGCUUUCGUGCAUACUCAACAACUUUAUCAAAUGACAGAACAUCCCUAUUAGCCACGAAAUCGCGGAUUUCAUACCGUCGUCCUUCCAGGAAUAACUGGAUUUUAUCGUCUUCAGUUGGAAUAUACUUUGCAGCAAAUCGUGCUUUUUGAUUGAAUUGAGUUUCAUAAUCAUUCACAGUCAUUCCUCCCUGUUUAAGCUCGAGGAAUUCUUUCUCUAAUCUUCUCCUCAUGUCUAGAGGACAAUACUUUCCUAACAAGCGAGUUUUAAACAUCUCCCAAGAUAAAUUAUCUUGGUCAUACUCGUUGAGAGCUUCGAAUGUUGCUUCCAACAAGACUAAGGCUUCUCCGAUGAGCAUUGCAGAAGCAUAAAUAGUCUUGUCUUUAUUAACCACAUGAGAGAUACGAAAUGCUUUUUCUGUGUUCUGGAUCCAUGUAAGAACUGAUUAGCUAAGAGAAGCCCUGGAGUAAGGCUUUAGCCUCAGCCUCCAUAUUAUUGCCCUGACCAAAGUUGCAUGAGAAUGUUAAAACAAUUAAACCUGCUGACUCUUUAAUGCAGCCACCUACUGCACUUAACAAACAAGAGAAUGGGCCAUACGGGUGCCUACAUUGUUAGUCUAUUUGAUUUACGGGAAGAGAUAUUUAUUGAAUAGAAAGAAUGAAACCUGUACCAGCUUAUCGCCAACCGUGCUUCCUACUAACUCCGCCUAUCCCAGACGGUCGGUCCUAUUGAUUUAGCCGCACCUGAACCCGCAACAGCUGCCUCUAGUCCGAAAGCAACUUACUUUUCUGAUGAAUCUUAGCUUGCUUUUUGAAUACAGUCAAAGUGGGACAUCCCUUGUUCUCGCAUUCCUUGCCCUUCACCCUCAGCUAGUUGCCUUCUUUCCUAGGGAAUUCAAUCACAUCGGAUCAGUGAGCUAAAGUCAGUCCCUCAACAGCUAAAGUAACUGCUUUAUCUGUCACCCUCCGUAAUUAAAGCCUGUCACCAAGCCUUAAGUCAAAAGAUCUGGUUUCAAGCCCUUUAGUUUAGGGCACCAAGUGAAUCAAAGCAAGAGCUUACUUAGAGCUCAUGGGAUUAAGAACACCAGAAAACUCCGUAGCACCAUUACUCUUGAAAGUUUUGAAUGAAGGACGUUUCACCUCCCUUUUGAAGAUUCUCUGGUGACUUUCUCUUUUCCUUUAUCACUAUCUUUUUUGUGUUCUUCGAGAGUCUUCCGAAUAACACCAGUAAGUUUAUGCACAAGUCGCUCCUCACGAGGGGAUACUGGAGUAUUUACUUCAUCAGUUUGAGGAUCUCCACCCAUAUCUGGUGUAUGGCUACUCACCUGUUCAGCCAUUGUACUGAAAAUUUGGAGUAAUAUAGUAUUUUAGAAUAUUAGGAUUUAUCAUUACCUAAUACUUUACUUAAGUCUUUCCUAUGGUUUGUAUCCAUAUACUUACAAUGAAUCCGUUCAUAUAUUGAACUUCCAAUAGUUUAAGUCUAAAUACCAAUCCGAUGGAUUUAGUUCGCUUAAACUACUGCUCUGAUACCAUGAUUGUAAGAACCCCUUCUCUAAACUUUACAAUAUUAUUACUCCAAACAUGCUACAUACAUAUUCAUAAUACAAUUAAAAAAGUCUGGAUACAAACCAACUAAUAAGAUUUUUACAAAGUUUUAUAUAUAUUACAUAACUCCCCAGAAAUUUAUAUACUAAGUACAAAAGUGAUAAUAUUAACUAUCCUACAUCUUCUUAUAGUACAUGACUAUUAUGGAUUCUUAUCACCUACAAUAGUUAAACACUGAGAAGGAUAAAUGGAUGACGCUUAGUGAGUUCAAUAACAGUUACAAUUUAACGCUAUGUCAUAUAUAUAUAUAUAUAUAUAUAUAUANGCUUAGUGAGUUUAAAAAUAGUUACAAUGUAACGCUAUGCCAUAUAUAUAACAAUAUGACAGAAGCAAAUAGGGAUAAAGAACAAUAGAGGCAUAUGUGUAUCAUAUGACAUGCUUUCCAUAUCAACCAAUGAUUUGAUUCAAAGAUUUAAAAUCAAUGAGAUACAACAAUUUCAACAUGAUAUACAUUGAAAAGACUUCAGUCCAAGUGGCGCAGAAAAUAAACAAUUUCGGAUUAUAAUUUUGCUAGAAUAUACAAGCUUUCAGCCCUACAUAGCCCUAUGCCAAUACCAAAAGUGAUACGAGUCAUGCUCUACAUGGCCAAAGGCACAAAGCCAAUACCAGAAGUGAUACGAUACAUGCUCUAGAUGUCCAAAGGCAUAAAUCCGAUACCAGAAUAAUACGAGACAAGCUCUACAUGGCCAAAAGCUCAAAGCCAAUACCAAAAGUGAUACGAGACAUGCUCUACAUGAUCAACGGUAUAAAACCAGGAUUACACAGGAAAGCAGAUUGAACAUAUAACACAUAACAUACAAUUGUCCCUAUAUUGAACUCACCGUGAAAUAACUGAAUGAUAAAAUGAUAAUUUGGGCAACACUUCAUCUCUAAAAAUGACUUUCUUUAAUGAAACUGAGGAUUUUAGUUGAAAACCGGGCUUUGUGUGGGCAGAGUUUCGACUAAAAAUAUUAUUUUCUUGGGGUCUUCGGUGCUUCGGGACUUGCUUCGGCAGUUCGGGUAGUUCCCUAGGCUUCAGGGGGNGGGGGGGGUAUCUUGAAAGGAAAUAGAGGGUGAAAGAGAGUCAAAAUUGUAAACAAAAUUCGGAAACCUCGCAUCCCUUUUACAGUGGUCCGAAGCACCUGACUACGUUGGGCGUACUUCGGUAUGCACAACGAACCUUCGUACUCUGUGCGUAGCUACGUGUCUUCUGAUGGGUAUCCGAGCUUUGGCCGUGGCACAGUUAGGAAAUGUGUCCAUCAUGCGAAGGCGCUAAGUGGCUAUGACGUGUCUUCGUAGUACGUUGGGCGUACGACCUCCUCGAAGUUUGUGCCUAAAACUUCAAAAAUUCAUAUCUUUCGCGUGCAAGCUCGUUUUUGACGUUCUUUAUAUCCAUGCAUAGGUGAUAUUAUACUCUACAACUUUUGUUUAGAUUCCAUCGGCUAAUUUUGACUUCAUUUUUAAUAUUAUAUUUUUAACAGGCCGGGACAGGAAAAAUCCGUUAAAAACUCAUAACUUCUUCAACCGACGUCCGUUUUCGUCUGUCUUUUUACCGUUGUAUUACUAUUGACGAGAUCUUUGAUUCUUGUUUAGGUUGUGUCGGCUAAAAAUCACUCGAUCUUUAUUUUGAGUUUCAGGUUGUGUAUUGCUAUGCCAAUUCUUAGAAAAAUCAUAACUUCCUCAUACGAAGUCAGAUUUGGACAUUCUUUUUAUGAAAAUUCUCGGUUUAGCGAAUACAACGACUUUCAUUUAGAUCAUUAAAGCUAAAAACUAGUUUAUUGAAAACUCACUUUUUACGUCAUAUAGCGUCGUGCCGGUUCUGUCGCGAAACUUUAACGAGUCAUAACUUCUUCUUUAUAACUCGGAUUUCGAUGAGGUUUUCGCUUAAAUGUUUCUAACGAGAUAAUCUACAACUUUCAAUAACAUCAUUUUUAAUUAUUUUGCAUCUUUAUAUUUUUGUUAAUUUCAAUAGUUGACUUUUGAUCGGAAACUCAUAAGACUUCCAAUAUUUUCCGAAUGAUUCUAAACAUAGUUUUACUUCAAGUCUCAUAAAACUAUCUUGUUAGAACUCAACGCUCAAAAUCAUAUAUUAUAUAAUAAUAUUCACUUUUAAGCUAUCAAGCUUACAAAACACGAUAAUUAUACAUGGUUAAUAACGUGUAUGUUACAUGAAGCUACGUUACACUGAGAGAUUAAAGGAGAUGUAAAAUCACUAGUGUAAAUGAAUGUAAGCUUUGUUUAUGCUUAUGUUUUUUUUAUUGACGAUGACAUCCCAAAGUUUUAAAAUGAAUAGAAUACAAUUCCUCAGAAAUGAUUUGAUAACAUAUUUAUCAUGUUUUUCUGGGAAAAAAUUCCGCAACAUAUUUCUUUAAAAGAUACUCUGAUUUUUUUUUAAAUCAAGCAUAAACAAAUCGGUUUUUUCAGGCCGUAAAAUUGGGGAUGUCAGAGUUAGUAUCAGAACAUUAGUUUAAGCGAACUACGAAAUUUGUAGGAUUUCUAGACUUAAACAUAGAAUGCUAAGUGAUGAUCGUGAGAUGAGUGUCUACCAUAUUUUAGACACGAGCACUAAUAUAUUUUAGGAAAGAUACGUAAAUGCUUUUAUGUGCUAUAUGCUAUAUGUUUGUCAUAUAUGAUAUUAUUUGUUCGGAUCUAUGGUCUGUUUUCCACCAAAUCUGGAAACCUUAUGUGUUCAGGAUUCUAAGUGUAUGACUAUGAUAUUAGAACUAGAAUGUAAAUGUUUCGAAGUGAUAACGAAGAUUUAAACGUCUAUAAAAAAUAAAGAUCUAAAUUCACCUACUUUGGUGUAUAGAUCGAAAUGGAAAGCACUCGAAGUGGAUUCGGAAAUGGUAACCUGCAGCCCGAGCCAAUCACGAUGGCAGGGGUACAGGCAAUGGUGCGGACGAUGUUGGAUUAACAGAUGGAAGAGACAAAGCGUUUACUUCAAAAAAUGUAAGGACGAACUUACUGUGCCAGUACGUCAGACAUCUACUCUUGAGGCAACCAUCUGGGUUGCUAAGUCUGUCGAAGAAAUGAUAAACUAUAGGACCACUGACAAGGUUGAAGUUGGCAAUAAGAGGAAAUUUUAGAAGCCUUUAAGAUCCAACAAGAGCAACAUGUUCUCAAAGUCUGGCAAAAGAGGAGAUAAAGAAAAAUGGUGUGGGAAGUGCAAAAAUAAACACUCUGGAAAAUAUGGCAGGAAGGUGAAUUGUUUCAAGUGUGGAAAGUCUGGGCAUUACGCCGAUGAGUGUACGUUUCCCAAGAGGGUGUGUUACAGAUGUUGGGAAGAAGAACAUAUUUCUAGAGACUGCCCAAAGAAAAACGAGGCAGCAAGGCCAGAUUCACCACCAAGGCCAAGGGCAAUCCACAUGAUCCUCGAUGAAGCAAAUAACAACGGUAGGAAUUAGAACUAAAGACUUGAUACCCAAAUAUCAAGUUAUAAAGUAGCAAUGUGAAUAGUAACAUGUGGUGUAGCCUAUUGAAGGCAUAGUAUAGGGUAAACUUGAACCUCUGUGUAAUCGUUUCAAGAAAUAAUAUAAACCCUAGUUUUGUUAUCUGAUGUAUUGAAUGACUAUGUGAAAUUCUUGUAUGGUGACUCAGAGAACUACGAGACAAUACUUGGUACGAGUAUGAGUAGGUGUGAAUGGUAGUAGAGGCCUAUACUACCAAAAGCACAGGAAUCACACUUGGAUCAGGGAAAGUCACGAGGUUACCAAGAAGCUAGUAACUGAUUCCGUUUUAUUCUAGUCCGUCAUUACCAUCGUUUCGGUAAUGACUAAGAAGAUGAUUGUUAUUCCGACCCAAGAGGUUAUAUCGAAUCAAGUCCGACUAAGAUGAGUUAGGCAUGUGGUUCAGAGAACCAAGUUCGAUGUAGUAUCUCACUCAAACUGGAAGAUUGAAGUAUCCCAAUCAUUAUUAAAGUAAGAGGCUUGUAGCUAGAAGUACUACAUGCUACAAUGUGAUCACAUUGGAACACAAAGGAAGGUAUAUUACGUUCAGAAACUCGAAUCCAAAAGACUUGAGUCUAAGCAGUACAUAAUACGAUGAGAGGUCAUUAGAACAUGACCCAUCAGUCUACUAUGGUAAUAGAAGGAAAGAACUUAUCUUAAGUUUGUUAAAAAGGAGUCUCCAAUAAAGAUCGAGAUUAUGACUUGAAGGUCACAAUUGAAAGUUGAACAUGGGAUAGGGAGCGGGUGCAAGAUCGAGCACCGUAUGCAUACAAGAAUUCCAAAAGUAAAUACUAAUUCGAAGGAAACAUAAUAGUUACGACUAUUACCUAGGAUAAAGAGAUAAUAUAUGGAGUCAUCAAACAAGCCAUGUCUUGUUAGUGUUUCUAAGAACGGAUUUGAAGACUUCGUAGUCUGUAGCGACGCACCUGGAACUGGGUUAGUUUGUGUUCUAACCCAAAAGGAUAAGGUGAUAGCACAUGCAUCGAGACAAUUGAAAGAACACGAAAAGAACUACUCCACUCAUGAUUUGGAGUUGGCAGUAGUAGUAUUCACCCUAAAGAUAUGGAGGCAUUAUCUUUAUGGCACAAAGUGCAAACUUUUCACUAAUCAUAAGAGUCUUCAAUAUUUCUUUAAUCAGAAGAAAUUGAACAUGAGACAACAACGUUGGCUAGAGUUGCUUAAGGAUUAUGAUUGUGAAAUACUUUAUCACCCUGGUAAAGCAAAUGUCGUAGCUGAUGCUUUAAGCCGAAAAGUGAGCCUUGAAAGGAAAAUGCCAAGAGCAUUAAGAAUAGAAGUUGUCUCAACAAUUGUGGAAAGCAUCAAGAAAGCUCAGGAAGAAGCUUUAGAGAAAAAUGACUGAAAGGAAGAACGUUUGGGCAAAAUGUUAGUGUUCGAAACAAACGGUUAAGGACUGAAGGUAUUCCAAGAUAGGAUUUGGGUACCUAAAACGGGAGGAAUAAGAAAUCUUCUGGUGGAAGAAGCUCACAAGACCAUGUACUCGAUUCAUCCCGGCAGCACGAAAAUGUAUAGGGAUCUGAAACCCUACUACUGGUGGCCGACGAUGAAGCUCGAUGUUGCAAAGUAUGUGGCCGAGUGUGUGACGUGUGCGACAGUUAAGGCACAACAUCAAAAACCGUAUGGGAUUUUAGAACCUUUACAUGUACCAAUGGGUAAAUGGGAAGACAUCACCAUGGAUUUCGUGACUAAACUACCCAGAACAAAGAACUGUCACGACAUGAUUUGGGUGGUCAUUGAUCGGUUUACUAAAAGUGCACACUUCAUAGCAGCCAAUGAAAAAUGGCCUAUGGAUAAACUUGCAAAUGCUUGUGUGAAGGAGAUGGUGAGACUUCACGGUGUUCCUUUAACGAUUGUAUCAUAUCGUGAUAGGCGUUUCAUGUCAAGGUUUUGGAGGAGUCUACGAGAGGAAUUGGAUACGAAAUUAUGUCUAUGUACAAUUUACCAUCCGCAAACCGAUGGUCAGAGCGAACGAACGAUUCAAACAUUGGAGGAUAUGCUAAGAGCAUGUACCCUAGAAUUCCAAGUUAACUAGGAUGAACAUUUACCUCUGGAAGAAUUUUCCUACAAUAAUAGUUUCCACUCAACCAUCAAGAUGACACCUUAUCAAGCUUGGUAUGGACAAAAGUGUCGAACGCCAUCAUGUUGGCUUGAAGCUGGAGAAAACCGAUAACAUUCGAAGUUGGACAUUCGGUUUUACUUAAAGUUUCGCCGUGGAGGGACUUAUAAUAUUUGGUAAAUGAGGAAAGUUGAGUCCAAGGUUUAUUGGACCAUUUAAAGUUCUUCAGAGGAUUGGGAACCAAGAUUACAAGCUAGAACUACCAGAAGAACUAGAUGGUAUUCAUAACACUUUCCACGUGUGUUAUUUGAGGAAGUUCACGGGAGAAGUUCCUAACAUAAUUCCAAUUUCUGAAUUAAGGUUAGAUGAAAGCAAGAGGUUAAUUGAAGAACCGGAGGCAAUCGUUGACCGUAAGACUAAAAAGUUGCGACGCAAGAUAGUCGAUUUAGUGUUUGUGCGAUGGAAGCAUAUGAAUGGCCCAAAUCUCACCUGGGAAACGGAGAGUGACAUGAUGAGUCACUAUCCGCAUUUGUUUGCUGAUGUAUGAUUCCGAGGAUGGAAUCAUCCUAUGGAGGAGAGAAUUGUAACGCCCGUGUUUCUGGGCUAAAUCAUGAAUGAUGAUGUAAUAGUCUAGGUCAACCUUUGUAACUUGUUUUGAAGUAAUAAAAAUGUAUUAUUUGAGUAUUUUGUGUUUUAUGCAUAAUUAUUAUGAUUUAAUAAGUUAAGGAUAAAAAUAAUCGUCGAAAUUAAAAUGUUAGAUAAACCUGAUAUCUUUGAAGAAAGUUGUAGUGGUCGUAAAAAGGAUUCCAUAGAUAUAAAGAACGCCGAAAUCCGAGUUAUAACGAAGAAGUUAUGACAUGUCGAAGUUCCGCGACAGAACCGGCACGACGCUGUGUGACGUAAAAAGUGAAUUUACGAUAAAGUGCUUUUUAAUCUUAAUGAUCUAAAUGAAAGUCGUAGUAUACGUUAAACCAAGAGCGUGCAUAAAAAGAAUGUCCAAAUCUGAAUUCGUAUGAGGAAGUUAUGAAUUUUCUAAGAUUUGGCAUAGCAAUAUGCAGCCCGGAAUUCGAAUUAUAGAUCGAAUGAUUUUUAGCCGACAAAAUCUAAAUGAGAAUCGAAGAUCUCGUCGAUAGUGGUUCCACGGUAAAAAGAUAGAUGAAAACGGACGUCGGAUGAAGAAGUUAUGAAUUUUUAACGGACUUUUCAUGUCCCGACCUAUUAAAAAUAUAACUUUAAAAAUAAAGUCAAAAUUAGCCGACCGAGUCUAAAGAAAGUUGUAGAGCACGGUCUCACCUACGCGUGGAUAUAAAGAACGUCAAAACCAGAGCUCGUAUGCGAAAGUUACGAAUUUUUGAAGUUUGAAAAAUCGGAGUACGCCCAGUGUACUCGUGUACACGGUCCGAGAUUGCCCACAUCGCCCUUACCCUCGCAAGGCGGUACGCCCAUCGUAAUGAGGAGCUUCGGUCUCCUAUAAAUAGGAUGCGAGGCUGCCCCGAAAAUGUUUACAAAAUUUGCCGUUUUUCACCUUCUACUUUCUUUUUACCUACACUAAAUACCCCCAAGCCUAGAAUAUCAUCCUAGAAUCGUAAGCAAGCCCCCGAGAGCCCGAAGACCCCGAGAAAAAGAGUUUUCGAGUCGAAACUUUGCCCGCGUGAAGCCUGGUUUUUGAGAAAACAUCCCGGUUUCAUCGAAAAAGAUUGUUUUAAGGGACGAAGUGUUGUCCAAUCACCGUCUUAUCAAGUGAGUGUAUAAUCAUUUUCAUCUUACACAUAGAUAUGAAGUAUUUUAUAUAAAAUACGUGCUAUGUAAAUAUAUAUUGUUUGUUUAUUUGAGAUGGAUGUUGAAUGAAUGAUUUAUAUAGGUUUUAAAUGAUUUAAAUGGUACAUGUAUUUUAUAUCUACAAAAAUGGUGGGUAAAACAUGGGUAGAUGAAAUAGUUGGUAUGUGAUGAAAGAUGAGUUGGAUAAAUGAGAUGAUCGGUGAUAUAAAUCAUGAGAUGAGGGUGAGGGGGUGAAAAAUGAGAGAAGCCCUAACCCAAACGUUUGCCCCGUCAUCUAGCAGAGUACAGAUGACAACCAUGGACUAUUCUAGACGGUCCGUGGAACACUAGCAGACUCACAACCUGUAGGUGUUGUGAAUAAUAUGUUCAUCAGAUUUACUCUAAAAGCUCAUUGACAUGUAUUGUAGGUGGACUCCCGCAAAUAAUAUUGUCAAUAAAUGAGAGUUAUGGACUUAGCACUUGUUGGAUGAACCCUAGCAACUUUGAAUUUAGUGUCUGUUGUAUAAACCCUGGCGACAAUGUACUUCGUGCAUAUUCCUUAGGAUGAAUCCUUAUGAAUGAGUGAUAGAUGAUUCUUAGGGUAAAUCCUUAAGAAAUAAAGAAGAUAAUGGGGAUGUGUAUUUGGGUUAAUUGUUUGAUGAUAAAACACAAUAACUUUAUUAUUGUGGGUUGAAAACCCUAUAUACUCACCAGGUUUCCCAACCUGACCCAAUCAAGUUAUUUGUAUCAUAGGUGUCCAUACGAAGCUACGUUACACUGAGAGAUUAAAGGAGAUGUAAAAUCACUAGUGUAAAUGAAUGUACGUUUUGUUUAUCCUUAUGUUUUUGUAUGGACGAUGACAUCCCAAAGUUUUAAAAAGAAUAAAAUACAUUUCCUCAUAAAUGAUUUGAUAACAUAUUUAUCAUGUUUUUCUGGGAACAAAUUCCGCAACGUAUUUCUUUAAAAGAUACUUUGAUUUUUUUUUUUUUAAAAUCAAGCAUAAACAAAUCGGACUUUUCAGGUCGUGAAAUUGGGGAUGCCACACUUUAAUACUUUGAAUGUAACAUGCAAUGAACAAUAAAACUAACAUGAACCCUAAUGAUACCCUAAUAUAAUUGAAAUAUUGUGUAGUCUUGUGGAUUCUAAUCCGAGGCAGUGGGAUUUGGUCCUUCCUCGGGCGGAGUUUACAUAUAACCGGUCUACACAUCGGUCCACAAGCAUGAGUUCCUUUCUAGUGGUGUAUGGUUAGAACCCGUUCACACCGUUGGACUUGGCCUCGUUGCCCACGAAAAAAUAUUUCAGUGUUGAAGAUGAUGAUAGGGCUGAGCAAAUUAAGCGCAUACAUCAGCAGGUGCGUGAACAAAUCACUAACAACAAACAUAGUAUACCAAAGACGGGCCAAUGUGAGCAGGAAGACGGUGGUGUUCCAGGAAGGUGAUCUCGUGUGGAUUCACCUAAGCAAGGACAGGUUUCCAGGUGGAUGAGCUAGCAAGUUGCAACAACGGGCAGAUGGCCCUUUCAAGGUGUUAAAACGGAUCAAUGAAAAUGCUUACAAAAUAGAUCUUUCGGGUCAUUAUAAUGUGUCAGCCACUUUCAAUGUUGUUGAUCUGUCUCCGUUUCUUCCUGAGGUUGAUGAUCCAUUAGACUCGGGGACAAGUCCUUUUGAAUUGGUGGUCUGUGGGAGGAUGAUGCAGUCAGGCCCGAUCAAGAUCCAGAUCCAGGUCCGUCUGUGCUGGGUAUGGGAUCCGAUUGAGGUUGGAAUUGAACGGGAAUCAAAUAGGAUUGUCUUAUCUUUGUUUUUAAACUUUAGUAUUUUAUCUUUUAUUCUAGAUAGUUAUCAUCUGGAGUUAGUUCCUCUUUUAGUAGCAAACUUAGUUUAUUUAUUAGGGUUUUCUCCAAUCGUUGGUUUAGUUUUUGUUUUUGAGUUAUGAAUAAAAAUUGAUCCCCGUCUUCAUCUGGCGUGUUGUGUUCACAUGCAAUUAACACGCUUAAUUGCAUCAUUUAUCCUCCUAAUUAUAUUAGGUAAUGAUAUGAUAUGUGAAGUCCAUUAAUUCUUUUUUUUUUUUAUUUUUUUUAUUAUUAUCAUCUUUUAAUUUUAACAUUUGUUUUGAUCUAAUAAAUAGAAAAAUAUUUGAUUUCUCUUAAGUCUUUAACAUAGAAUCAAACGAAUUCAAUAAAAUCUUAGUCAACGUCUCAAUUAUUCACUAUAUGUAUUCAUAUUUUGAAAACAAUAUAUAAAUAUAUAGUUGUUUUUACUAUGUAAAACGAUCUAUAUUUUUUUUUGUUACAACUACUGGUUUGGGAUUUUUUUUCUUCCUUCCUUUUCACAUUAAUUCAUGAUAUUUUUAUAUCUAUAAAAAAAAUCAAAAGGCCGUUUAUUUGUUAACCAUCUCAUAACACAAUAUAUAUUGGUUUGUAUUAAUUCAAAAGUUAUAAUGAUAGAUAUCUAUUAAUUAUAAUAUAAUGAUUACCAACUAAAAUUUUAAGAAAGUACAUCUUAAAAAUUGAUAGUCUACCAUUUUUUCCCAAAUCAAAUGUAUCACAAUCCAUGGAUGUUGGUCAAACAUGCUAUUCUCACACAAGUCGCUUUAUCACAAGUCUUCCGUACUUUUCGUACAUAUAUAUUCAUUCCCCGGUAAACAAAAAGGGAGUUGUAGGACCACAAGCGUCGGCGAGGGAAUCGCUUUUUCAUUUUGGAUUUUACGCACCACUAGAGUCUUGUGCGGUGCAUUCUAUGGAUUAUUUGCGCCCCACGCGAAGCAUGUGUAUCAUCAUAUGCAUCUGCAUGUAUCCUAAUUGAUUUCGAUCUACUUGUUGACUUUUUGACUUGUGGUAAAUGACAAAAAUACCAAUUUGCUAACUAAUUUAACUUUUUCUACAUCACUUUACUAAUGCUGAGGGAGUGGUAACAUGUUUAACAUGUCACCACAUAGGAUUUAUUUAUGCCAAAUCGGAUUUAUUUAUGCCAUGGAAGCUAAGAAGAUUCUUGACAUCCAAGUUGUAAAAAUGAAGGGAUUGGGAGUGGGUUAGUUUAAUAGGUUUUAAUUUAAAAAGGAAAAAAAAAAAGAAAAAAGGAUCAACCAAUGAAAGCCAACCGUCUUUUCUCUCUCAUCUCGUUAUGUCCACGGCGAGCUUCUUUCUUAGCGCCUCUAACGACUUUGAAAGGAUGGUGUAUAGCGACUUUAGCAUUCCUUUGGCGAGUGAUAUAGCAUAUCCAUUCCUUUUAGUCUAAUAAUGUGUUGCCGCGUGUUACAAAAGUUCCAAAUAUAUGGAAUCAAGAAAAUUCUACCAAAAUUGUUAAUAUGAGAAAAAAAAAGGAACAUCAUUUUAUGUGUCCUACCAAGCUUAUAUAUUCCAUUUACCAAGACCAAAUUAAAAGAAAGGUUUUAAAAUCAUGUAGCCGAAUAAAUAAUAUCAUUUUUAAAACCCAAUUCUUUUGUAAUUAUUUAUUAGUUUUUACCUACCUCAUUAGGCUAAGGGGUAUGGUCACCACCAACCCACUAUAAAAACGCUGCCACCUAUACGUCACGUCAGCUUCACUACAUGUCUACCGUUAACCCACUAUCCAUAAGUAGGGGUGUUUGUUUGGAUGGAUCGGUUUGAUCCGAUCCAAUCAAGUAAAUUCAAAUUGAUUUCGGUUUUCAAAACAUGGAUCCGAAUUGUCCAAACUAAAUUCAAAUCCGAUCCGAUCCAAUUACAAUUCGGUUGGAUCGGUUUUGAUAAUCCGGUUUUAAAAAACCGAAACAUUUUAAAACAAUAUAUAAUUAUAAUAUUACCCAACUUUAGACAAGAAGCAAAAACAAAUAAUUUAGUUGUGAUUGGAAAUUUAUAAAAAACUAAUAAGAAGAUAUAUAUUAUAGUUAAAUAUUUUAUACAUACAAAACUUUCGAGAGAAUGCAUAUUAAUGUUUUUUUAUCGGGUGAAACGUUUUGAACCUAUUUUAAAAAAUAAAUUACAAAAUUAAUAUAUAUUAAUAUAUAUAUAUAUAUAUAUAUAUANUUAUAAAUAGAUAAAUAAUAAAUGUUUAUUCGGUUUUUUUGGACUAUUCGGUUCUUAUUUUAUAAAUCAAAAUCAACCCGAAAUCCAAAAUAAUAAUUCGGUUUUGUUGAAAACCAAUCCAAAAAUCCGAAUAUUCGAAUCAAAUUGUCCAAUUGGAUAAGUCAGUUUUAUCCAAAUAAUGAACAGCCUUAUCCAUAAGAAAUGGUUACCACUCUUUUGUACUUAUCUUUUUGUUUUUUUUUGGACAUUAGAAUAAAUUAAAAAAUAAUCAUUAAACAAAAUAAAAAAAUAAAUAGUAAUUAAAAAUAUUUUACAUUAAUUAAAAAAAUAAAAUUUUAAAUUCUAUAUUACUUUAAAAAAAAACAUAAACAUUUAAAACCUAAAUUACUAAAAAACAUAGAAAAUAUUACUCAUCGUCGUUGUCGUUCGCAUCGCCACCAACCUCAUUUUCGUCUUUCACGUCCUCAUCCUCUUCGUCAUCAUUGACAUCGUGUUGUUAGAAUUGCCUUGUCCAUAUAUGUUCAGUCAAAUCAUAAUAUAGAUUGUGAUGUGUUUUACUGUUUUGUAUUUCCAAAAGUCUUGUGAAGUAUGUCGGAUUGUCGACUUGUAUUACUACAGGUGGAUUAAGCAUAUCGUUUGGAGUAUACAUACAAAUAGUCUUACCCUCUUCUUCUAUUAUCAUGUUAUGUAAAAUAACACAAACAGUCAACAUCUUCGUCAAUUUUGCCAUAUCCCAUGACCGUGCUAGAUGUUUGAUAGUGUGUCACUUUUGUUUGAGGACCCCAAACGCCCGUUCCACAUCCUUCCUUGCCGAUUCUUGUGCUAACUUGAACACUUUUCGUUUUUCAUCGGUCGGAAAUGAGUACGACUUGACAAACGUAGCGUACUUUGGAUAUAUCUCAUCAUCAAGGUAAUACCCAUAACUAUAUUGAUGUUCACUCACAACGAACGACAUGUUUGGUGUUUUACCCUACAAAAUGUUGUUAAAUAUCGGAGACGCUCCGCCAUACCAAAGAAUGCAUGCUAAAACCAUAGGUCAUGUGAAACAACAACCUCUAGUAUACAAGUUGGCACGCCAUGAUCACUUCGUGUGAAUUGACAUCACCAUGCAUUGGGAAAAUUUACCCACUCCCAAUGUGUACAAUCAAUGUUGCCAAGCAUUCCUAGAAAGCCAUGUUUAGCUUCAUGUGCAGCAUACAACUGUUCGACAUCAUUUCUAGUUGGAUGUCGCAAGUAUAUGUCACCACAAAGCUCUAUAACAUACUCACAAAAAAGAUACGCACAUUCUCAACAAGUCCUCUCAGACAUUUUCAAAUACUCAUCUAACGCGUCUGCGGCUAUGCCGCAUGCCAAUUGUCUAAGAGUUGAUGUGCAUUUUUGUAUUGUACUAAAACCACGUUUACCGCUAACAUCACAUCUCAAUUGGAAAACUCAUAGUUGUUUUCCAAUUCUCUAACCAUACGUAAAAAUAAAUUUAUACUAAUACGGAAUCGUUCUUCAAAUUUCGAUAGGUCGUAUAAACUAUCAGGGGCAAAUUAAUCAUGUACCAAAAGUUCAUGUGCAGCGAUAUGAUCCCGAUUUAUCGAAAUCCUACGCUUCCUCUCGCCAUUUGAACUUUUGCCUCUUUGUCGCACCUUUCGCGUGCCGUAGACAACAAUGUGUGCAACACCAAGUCAUCAUCAGAGUCGUCAUCAUCAUCAGAUAAAGAAGAAAUCGAACCCGCAAAAUUAUUCAUAUU
rnacentral:lncRNA from 1 species